rnacentral:rRNA from 1 species
AGGGAGGUAGAAUUCACAGUGUAGCGGUGGAAUGCGUAGAUAUUGUGAAGAAUACCAAUGGCGAAGGCAGCCUCCUGGAUCUGUACUGACACUGAGGUGCGAAAGCGUGGGUAGCGAACAGGAUUAGAUACCCUGGUAGUCCACGCCGUAAACGAUGUCAACUAGCUGUUGGAAAGCAUUGCUUUUCAGUGGCGCAGCUAACGUAGUAAGUUGACCGCCUGGGGAGUACGGCCGCAAGGUUAAAACUCAAAUGAAUUGACGGGGACCCGCACAAGCGGUGGAGCAUGUGGUUUAAUUCGAUGCAACGCGAAAAACCUUACCUAUGCUUGACAUACUUGGAAUACUUUGUAAUGAAGUAGUGCCUUCGGGAGCCAAGAUACAGGUGCUGCAUGGCUGUCGUCAGCUCGUGUCGUGAGAUGUUCCGUUAAGUCGGAUAACGAGCGCAACCCUUACCCUUAUUUGCCAGCGAUUCGGUCGGGAACUAUAAGGGGACUGCCGGUGAUAAACCGGAGGAAGGUGAGGACGACGUCAAGUCAUCAUGGCCCUUACGCAUAGGGCUACACACGUGCUACAAUGGCAUCUACAGUGAGUUAAUCUCCAAAAGAUGUCUCAGUUCGGAUUGGGGUCUGCAACUCGACCCCAUGAAGUUGGAAUCGCUAGUAAUCGCGGAACAGCAUGCCGCGGUGAAUACGUUCCCGGGCCUUGUACACACCGCCCGUCACACCAUGGGAGUUGGCUUUACCCGAAGGCGGUGCGCCAACCUGUUUACAGGAGGCAGCCGACCAC